rnacentral:rRNA from 1 species
GACGAACGCUGGCGGCGUGCUUAACACAUGCAAGUCGAACGAGACGAUUGAAAGCUUGCUUUUGAAAGUCGAGUGGCAAACGGGUGAGUAACGCGUAGACAACCUGCCUUUGAGAUGGGGACAACAGUUCGAAAGGACUGCUAAUACCGAAUGUUGUAUAUUUUCCACAUGGAAGAUAUAUUAAAGAUGGCCUCUAUUUAUAAGCUAUCGCUCAAAGAUGGGUCUGCGUCUGAUUAGCUGGUUGGUGGGGUAACGGCCUACCAAGGCGACGAUAAGUAGCCGGUCUGAGGGGAUGAACGGCCACAUUGGGACUGAGACACGGCCCAGACUCCUACGGGAGGCAGCAGUGGGGAAUCUUCCACAAUGGACGAAAGUCUGAUGGAGCAACGCCGCGUGAGUGAAGAAGGGUUUCGGCUCGUAAAGCUCUGUUGUCGGGGACGAAUGUGCAGUAUUUGAAUAGGGAUAGGUAAUGACGGUAUUAAACGAGAAAGCCACGGCUAACUACGUGCCAGCCGCCGCGGUAA